rnacentral:rRNA from 1 species
AUUGAACGCUGGCGGCAGGCCUAACACAUGCAAGUCGAGCGGAUGAAGGGAGCUUGCUCCUGGAUUCAGCGGCGGACGGGUGAGUAAUGCCUAGGAAUCUGCCUGGUAGUGGGGGAUAACGUCCGGAAACGGGCGCUAAUACCGCAUACGUCCUGAGGGAGAAAGUGGGGGAUCUUCGGACCUCACGCUAUCAGAUGAGCCUAGGUCGGAUUAGCUAGUUGGUGGGGUAAAGGCCUACCAAGGCGACGAUCCGUAACUGGUCUGAGAGGAUGAUCAGUCACACUGGAACUGAGACACGGUCCAGACUCCUACGGGAGGCAGCAGUGGGGAAUAUUAGACAAUGGGCGAAAGCCUGAUCCAGCCAUGCCGCGUGUGUGAAGAAGGUCUUCGGAUUGUAAAGCACUUUAAGUUGGGAGGAAGGGCAGUAAGUUAAUACCUUGCUGUUUUGACGUUACCAACAGAAUAGGCACCGGCUAACUUCGUG